GCGGCCUAUCAGCUUGUUGGUGAGGUAACGGCUCACCAAGGCUACGACGGGUAGCUGGUCUGAGAGGAUGAUCAGCCACACUGGGACUGAGACACGGCCCAGACUCCUACGGGAGGCAGCAGUGGGGAAUCUUGUGCAAUGGACGAAAGUCUGACACAGCCACGCCGCGUGCGGGAAGAAGGCCUUCGGGUUGUAAACCGCUUUCAGCAGGAACGAAAAUGACGGUACCUGCAGAAGAAGGAGCGGCCAACUACGUGCCAGCAGCCGCGGUGACACGUAGGCUCCAAGCGUUGUCCGGAUUUAUUGGGCGUAAAGAGCUCGUAGGCGGUUCAGCAAGUCGGGUGUGAAAACUCUGGGCUCAACCCAGAGCCUGCACCCGAAACUGCUGUGACUAGAGUUCGGUAGGGGAGACUGGAAUUCCU
rnacentral:rRNA from 1 species